CAACAACAACGGCAACAACAAAAUAGCGCUCAGGACUUGCAAGAAUUGCAAACCCAGUUCGAUCCAUCUCUCAAUCACCUCAAGGCUUGUCGAUUUCACACCGCUCAUUUUGGAGCUUUCAAAUGCCGGGGGAAGACUUAUAAUAGCUUCUGAUAUGGCUGCCAAGUCUUGCCGGGGAUUGCCUGCAGAGCUUGCUGCAAAGUUGGUCGUUGAGGAGGCUCUGAGGUCAAGGGGUCUGAAAGAUGAUACAACCUGCGUAGUUGUUGACAUAAUCCCAUCAGACCGUCCUGUCUUGCCUCCAACUCCGAGGAAGAAACAAAGCAUGCUCACUUCACUUAUUUUUUAGAAGAAAAGUCAGAAUGGGAGCAAAACAAAUAAGCUUUCAGCGGUGGGAGUUGUGGAGGAACUGUUUGAAGAAGGUUCAGCAAUGCUCGCUGAAAGGUUGGGUAAGGAUAUUCCUUUGGAUGCAAAUUCUGGUAUUUUCCGGUGUGCAGUCUGCCAAGUUGAUCAGCCCCAAUCAGAAGGUUUAUCAGUAAAUUCUGGACCUUUUUUCUCACCACCAUUAAAGCCAUGGGAAGGCCCCUUCCUCUGCACAACCUGUCG